UGCAGGGAGCUGCCGAGUAUAACGAGUACAUUUUUUUUCUCUCCCUUAUCUUGAGAGGGGGAGAGGAGGAGCAAGAUGAGAAAUGGAAGGCCUUUAACAUCCUCAUACCCUUUUAUGCUAUUCUCACUCUCUUGUUAUCCAACUGAAGGUUUUGGACGGCUCCCUGCUUGUGUAGCGCCGUGGACGGUGUUCAUGAGUUGGGAGUCCCUGCCCCCGAAUUUUUUUGAGGUAAACUUUAGUGGCUAUAUUUAGGAGGGCAACGCAAGAAGUGGCGCUGUCACCGUGCCU
rnacentral:lncRNA from 1 species